CCGCGGCCGCGUCGCCCAGGCGGCGCUGUCUGUGGGCCCCGCGCCGGCGUGCGCCCUCCCACGCCCGGGUGCGCCCGCAUCCUCCGGCCUGGGCUGCGGCCGCCGCGCCGACGCUUCCUGUGCGCUUCGCCUAGCGCGCGUGCUGGCGGCACCGGACGACCCGACAGGCGCGUUCCCUCCGCGGAGCCCCGCAGGUGCUGGGGCGAGAUAGAGCCCUCGCGGCUGCUGCCGGAGAAAUGGCUCCUUACGGUCCGUGCCAUCCAUUCACCUCCGCACCCAGUAAGACAUCCAGUUUCCAAAGGAUUUGUGAUCUGCAACCCUCUGAAUCGUCUGACAUGCUAUCUUUGCCACUGCAACAAAGUCAACAUUGGUAGUUGUCGCUCUCCCAAGGAGUCCCAGAGCGAGCGUGCUAGAACGGCUGCCCCUGACCUCGGGCAGUUCAGAUUGAAUUGCUUCUGUACAAAACUCAGUUGCUUGAAGCACAGAAACUUGAAUUUCUCCAUCUCACACAUUCUGGAAGCCCCAAGGCACAAGCUGACAGUUUGCUUCUACAGAAAACUCUCACCCUGUUCUUGCAACAGUACGACCUGUUCCCACUACUGCACAUGA
rnacentral:lncRNA from 1 species